AUCAAGAAGCAUGAGGAACUGAGGGAUUACAAACUCCCUGUAAUCUCAUCAAAUUGACAACCUCAAGCGAUGGUGAGGAGUCUGGUGCCCAUUUUUAAUAAAUCAGGAAAUCAAGCAUAGAGCGAUUAAGUACUUUGCCGAAAGUCACAGAGCUAACUAGUGGCAUAGCAGGAUUGGAACCGGGAUCUGAGAACGAGCGCCAGUCCCUAGCGUCUGAGGUGUACUGUUCCAUUUGGAAGUCAAGGUUCGUGCCACCUAAGUGGGUUCCUGCUGCAAGGAAUUUGAGGACAUUCUCCUUCUUCAUUUGUGGGCCAUCAGGGGCUCCGAACAUUGUGAAAGUUCGCUUUAAGUUAUGAUGGGAAUGUAGAACAAGACCGCUGUUAUAAGUACAGCAUCCGUAGUCCAUUGCUCAUUGCCUCCCAGAAGGACUUUCCUCCCCUCAGGCUCAUCUCUCCACUCAUUUACAAGCCACCAACAGAAGAAAAUUUUCCCUCCACUUCUCACCCAACCUAUUUCAGGCUGGACUCACAGUUAACUUAAAAAAUAGUCUACCAUGGCAUUAUUAUGCACAGCGCUUGAGCUGUGUCCCAUCUGUCCAUUCCACUACACAAGUCAGUCUUUGCCUUCACUGAACCAAAAAGAACACUCAAGUCUUGCAAAGGGAUUUUCCCAAA